GCUUAUUCUAUGAUAAUAUUUUAUAUUACAUGAUUAUUUAAAUUAAUUUUUCUGUUUUAGUAUUAUUAUGAAAUAAUUUAUUGUUUUGACUGAAGGGGGAGAAUUGAUCCAAGCACACUAAAGUAAAAUUAUGUUUUGUACCUUUUGUAUCAGGGUAAGUUAAUUAAAUUUAUAAAUAUAUAUAUCCCGAAAGAGAAUGAUUUAAAUUAUAUUGUUAGUUAUUGUAACAUAAAUAUUAACAAAUAUAUUAUGGAAAUGAAACUUUAACGAAUUUUCUGAUAUCUGGUUUCUCAAUAAAUAAAUUUAAUUUAGGAAAAUUAAUAUAUGUCAUUAAUAAUUAACAUUUAAUUUUCUAAUUAUGGGGGGGAUAAGCUCUCUAUAAUGACAAUAAAUUUAAUCAUUAAAUAUAUAAUAGGCUUAAAACCAGCCAUUUUUGAUUAAGUUAAAUUUCAAUUUUUAUUAUGCGCUAUUUUAUUAGAUUUUUGUUCGACAUUGAGAAUUGAAGACUAAUUAAUUAUUUUAACUAUAAUGAUUUAAUAAGUAAAAUUUGGAAUUAAUAAUUAUGAAUUCGGCAAAUGUAAUUUCCACCUGUUUAUCAAAAACGUGUCUUUUAGAAAUAAAUUGAAAGUCUGGUCUGCCCAAUGAUUAUUGAAUGGCCGCGGUAACCUGACCGUGCAAAGGUAGCAUAAUAAUUAGUCUUUUAAUUGGAGGCUUGUAUGAAUGAUUGGAUGAGAAAUUAUCUUUAUUAUUAAUAACAUUUGAAUUUAAUCUUUAAGUCAAAAAGCUUAACUGUUCAUGUGGGACGAGAAGACCCUAUAGAGUUUUAGAAAGUUAAUUAUUAAUUAUUUUUGGAUUCCUAUUAUUUAAUAGAUAAUUAAUUUUCUUAUGUUGGGGUGAUAUUGAAAUAUAAUUAACUUUCAAUUAAUUUGACAUUAAUUAGUGUUUAUUGAUCCUAGAUUAAGAAUGUAAGAAAAAAUUACCUUAGGGAUAACAGCGUAAUUAAAUUGGAGAGUUCAAAUCGAUAAUUUAGAUUGCGACCUCGAUGUUGGAUUAAGAAAAAUUUCUGGGGCAAGUUUCAGAAAAUUUGGGUCUGUUCGACCUUUAAACUCUUACAUGAUCUGAGUUCAGACCGGCGUGAGCCAGGUUGGUUUCUAUCUACAUUUAAUUUUUUAGUAUUAGUACGAAAGGACCAUAUUAAAUAAUUUUAUUAU
rnacentral:rRNA from 1 species